UCGUAACAAGGUCUCCGUUGGUGAACCAGCGGAGGGAUCAUUACUGAGUUGCUUUAAAACUCCAAAACCCUUAUGUGAACAUACCAUAGUUGCCUCGGCGUAAGCCGCACUGCCCCGGCAGCCGCCCCGCGCGGCCGCCUGGCAGCGCAUUCAAGGCCCGCCGAAGGACCGCCAAAACUCUUGUUUAAUUUAAAACGUUUCUCUGAAUGCUUCAACUGAAAUAAGUUAAAACUUUCAACAACGGAUCUCUUGGUUCUGGCAUCGAUGAAGAACGCAGCGAAAUGCGAUAAGUAAUGUGAAUUGCAGAAUUCAGUGAAUCAUCGAAUCUUUGAACGCACAUUGCGCCCAUUAGUAUUCUAGUGGGCAUGCCUAUUCGAGCGUCAUUUCAACCCCUUAAGCCCUGUUGCUUAGCGUUGGGUAUCUACGGGCUUAGGCGCGUAGUUCCUGAAAAUUAGUGGCGGAGCCGAGCGUGCCGCGAGCGUAGUAAUUCAUAUCUCGCCCGUGUGGUGCCCUCGGUUGCCGGCCGUAAAACCCCUUAUAUUUCUUAGUGGUUGACCUCGGAUUAGGUAGGAAUACCCGCUGAACCUAAGCAUAUCA
rnacentral:misc_RNA from 1 species